rnacentral:rRNA from 1 species
UACAGGCUUAACACAUGCAAGUCGAGGGCAGCAUGGUCUUAGCUUGCUAAGGCCGAUGGCGACCGGCGCACGGGUGAGUAACACGUAUCCAACCUGCCGUCUACUCUUGGACAGCCUUCUGAAAGGAAGAUUAAUACAAGAUGGCAUCAUGAGUCCGCAUGUUCACAUGAUUAAAGGUAUUCCGGUAGACGAUGGGGAUGCGUUCCAUUAGAUAGUAGGCGGGGUAACGGCCCACCUAGUCUUCGAUGGAUAGGGGUUCUGAGAGGAAGGUCCCCCACAUUGGAACUGAGACACGGUCCAAACUCCUACGGGAGGCAGCAGUGAGGAAUAUUGGUCAAUGGGCGAGAGCCUGAACCAGCCAAGUAGCGUGAAGGAUGACUGCCCUAUGGGUUGUAAACUUCUUUUAUAAAGGAAUAAAGUCGGGUAUGGAUACCCGUUUGCAUGUACUUUAUGAAUAAGGAUCGGCUAACUCCGUGCCAGCAGCCGCGGUAAUACGGAGGAUCCGAGCGUUAUCCGGAUUUAUUGGGUUUAAAGGGAGCGUAGAUGGAUGUUUAAGUCAGUUGUGAAAGUUUGCGGCUCAACCGUAAAAUUGCAGUUGAUACUGGAUAUCUUGAGUGCAGUUGAGGCAGGCGGAAUUCGUGGUGUAGCGGUGAAAUGCUUAGAUAUCACGAAGAACUCCGAUUGCGAAGGCAGCCUGCUAAGCUGCAACUGACAUUGAGGCUCGAAAGUGUGGGUAUCAAACAGGAUUAGAUACCCUGGUAGUCCACACGGUAAACGAUGAAUACUCGCUGUUUGCGAUAUACUGCAAGCGGCCAAGCGAAAGCGUUAAGUAUUCCACCUGGGGAGUACGCCGGCAACGGUGAAACUCAAAGGAAUUGACGGGAGCCCGCACAAGCGGAGGAACAUGUGGUUUAAUUCGAUGAUACGCGAGGAACCUUACCCGGGCUUAAAUUGCAGAUGAAUUACGGUGAAAGCCGUAAGCCGCAAGGCAUCUGUGAAGGUGCUGCAUGGUUGUCGUCAGCUCGUGCCGUGAGGUGUCGGCUUAAGUGCCAUAACGAGCGCAACCCUUGUUGUCAGUUACUAACAGGUUCCGCUGAGGACUCUGACAAGACUGCCAUCGUAAGAUGUGAGGAAGGUGGGGAUGACGUCAAAUCAGCACGGCCCUUACGUCCGGGGCUACACACGUGUUACAAUGGGGGGUACAGAGGGCCGCUACCACGCGAGUGGAUGCCAAUCCCCAAAACCUCUCUCAGUUCGGACUGGAGUCUGCAACCCGACUCCACGAAGCUGGAUUCGCUAGUAAUCGCGCAUCAGCCACGGCGCGGUGAAUACGUUCCCGGGCCUUGUACACACCGCCCGUCAAGCCAUGGGAGCCGGGGGUACCUGAAGUGCGUAACCGCGAGGAGCGCCCUAGGGUAAAACUGGUGACUGGGGCU